GUGGGUUGGCUCAGUUGUUAGAGCGUGGGUUUUGUAACCGAAAGGUUGCGGGAUCGAAUCCCGCUAGAGGAUG
rnacentral:tRNA from 1 species